AGAGUUUGAUCCUGGCUCAGGAUGAACGCUAGCGGGAGGCCUAACACAUGCAAGUCGAACGGGAUCCCCGAGCAAUCGGGGUGAGAGUGGCGCACGGGUGAGUAACGCGUAUGCAACCUACCUUUAACUGAGGGAUAGCCCAUAGAAAUGUGGAUUAAUACCUCAUAGUUCUUUUGGCCCGCAUGGGUCGAUAGAUAAAGCUCCGGCGGUUAAAGAUGGGCAUGCGUGACAUUAGCUAGUUGGUAAGGUAACGGCUUACCAAGGCUACGAUGUCUAGGGGUUCUGAGAGGAUGAUCCCCCACACUGGUACUGAGACACGGACCAGACUCCURCGGGAGGCAGCAGUGAGGAAUAUUGGUCAAUGGGCGCAAGCCUGAACCAGCCAUCCCGCGUGAAGGAUGAAGGCCCUAUGGGUCGUAAACUUCUUUUAUACGCCAAGAAAAUUUCGGACGUGUCCGGAACUGACGGUAGUGUAUGAAUAAGCAUCGGCUAACUCCGUGCCAGCAGCCGCGGUAAURCGGAGGAUGCAAGCGUUAUCCGGAUUCAUUGGGUUUAAAGGGUGCGUAGGCGGCUUUUUAAGUCAGUGGUGAAAUCUUGCCGCUUAACGGUAAAAUUGCCAUUGAUACUGAAGAGCUUGAGUACAUUUGAGGUAAGCGGAAUGUGUAGUGUAGCGGUGAAAUGCUUAGAUAUUACACAGAACACCAAUUGCGAAGGCAGCUUACUAAACUGUUACUGACGCUGAUGCACGAAAGCGUGGGGAGCGAACAGGAUUAGAUACCCUGGUAGUCC
rnacentral:rRNA from 1 species